AAUUUUGUGCUAUGGUCCGUCUGAUUUUUAUAUACCCAAAAGAGGAGGUCCAGAAGAUGGAUUCAAGUACCUUGAACCCAAAAAAUGAAGAUUGUCCUGAUAUGAAAGAGAAUGUCAAGGAAACAAAAGACAGUCAAUCUGCAUCAUCAUCUAAUUCAAAAAACUCAUAGGCUUAUCCUGCAAUAUCACUAUCAAGGAAGAAUGUUCAAAGGAAAGUAAAGGCUAAGGAGAAGAUCACGUAAUUAACUACACGGGUCUAGUGAAAAUACUGAAGAAGUAUGACAAGAGAACAGGAGCACUUAUCAGGCAGCCCUUUAUCGAAAAGGUGCUGCAGUAGCCAUUCUUUACAACUGAUCUCCUAUAUAUACAAACUCGUGAAGGAGUGUGUGGCUAUGCUCGACCACCUCUUCCCCAGCAACAACCUGUCAAUUUCAGCAGAAUGCGACGGACAAAAUGGAGUGCCAAAGCCGGCACAAUCAGGUGGGAGGGUUCCGGAGUUGGAGGAGAUUAAAUAUAUGCAGAGCUUAUACAUGAAGAGCACUGUAGCAGCGUUGCGGUCCUUGAAACAGAUUAGGAGCAAAAGUUCAACAGUCAAAACAGAUUAGAAAAUCUCGUGUUAUAUUAU